rnacentral:lncRNA from 1 species
GUAUAAGUCUAUGUCCUUUAAUACUUCGUCAUUACUGUUUAUCUUAGGAAUGAUUGUCUAAUUUCAUACCGUACUUUUUAGAUUUUAUUCAUCCAUUGUUGAUUCACCUCAAUGCUUAUCUAUAAUCUUCCAUCGAUAACUUGAAACUUCUUACAUAAUAUAUUGCCACUAGGGCUUAUGUUGCAUCGAGGAAUAUUUGAAGUUACUUUCUUGAUCCACUUAGGGGUGAUACUGUACUUCAAUGACUGUAUUUUACAGCAUCCCAAGGUGAUUCACUUAUGUGGGUAUUUCAAUCUCGUAGAAACCAUGAAAUCCUCUUCAAAUCAUUACUUACUCGAAGAAUUAAACGCCAUCCUUUAUCCAUCACGAUUACACCCUUAUUGUACUAUCAGGGCAACAUUCCACCUUUUUUAAAUGGUAUUAGUCUUUGACUCAUUUGAGUUUAUUCAGACUAUACUGAUCUUUCUUUAACUUUAGAGAAACCAUUAUCUCUUCUUGUUUUCAUGGGUUUAAUCCCGAUGACUUAUCCAUUUAUACUAUUUGCAACCUUUCUUCAACUUGCGUGCACCAUAGAUUUCCUUAUGUCAUUCUGGAAUAUCAAGCGAGAUGUCACAUUAUCUCUAACUCUUCUAUACUGUUUUAACUAAACCUUUCAAUCUGUAGAAACCAUAGACUGGAAGAUAUUCCACUAAUGUUGCCGUCAUCAUUCCUGGAUAUUGAAUCCCCGUGCUAAUAACCUUCUAUCCAAAGUAUGGUCUAUUCACAACUUUCUGCAUUUCUGUAUCUCGUACAUUGUUUACUUUUACCUUACUUAAAAUCUCGUAUCAUAUCCUCUAUUUAUUUUAUAACCUCCCUUCUACCUAGGUGUAAUUUACGUCCAUAACUUAAAGCUCUAUUAUAAUACUCACACCUUUUGUACAUACAUACUCCGGUGGGAGCUUCGUAGUAACUUCCCAUGAGGCUGGUUCUCCUUCUAAUUGGCUUCCUUGUCGAGCCAUUAUAGAUUAUAGUGGUUGUGAUUUCUCUCGAACAUCUAACAUUAAGAGCGAUUCUCUCAUGUUCUCAAGAAAAACUUCUAUAAUUGUUUUCUAGGUCCAAUAAUCAGUCUCCUGAUUUACUUAGGUGUUGUAAUUUUUUCAAUUUCCUCUUCCUCCUGAUCAACCUUUAUAUAUACUUAAGCUAUCUUCCGAUCCAUAGCUCAUGUAUCAGUUAUUACCUUAGCCUUUCAUGGGCAUUAUGGAAUAUCCAUGAUACAAUCUUCGAAAAUAAUUCAAUCCUUUGCCUAUGCCCUGGGCUCAAUUCUUUCUUUUAACUUAUAUCGAAAUCUUCUACGGUUGUAUGAUUAUAAAAAAUUAUGCUACCUAGAUAAUGCUCCAAAUUCUUAAGUGUAUCCAUAACGUACUAACUCUGGAUCAUUGAUCGCAUAAUUCCUUCCGUUCCAUCUUAGCUUUUUUUAAAUGUGUGCAAUUAAUUUUCCUAGUCUUUCUGCCCCUUGUUGCGUCCAUACUUAGCUUAUCUUAGUGCCCACACUCACCAGAGUUUUCAUAGAAUUCAUAUAAUCUUGAAUAUUACUUUGAAAUCUUACUUCACGUUCAUUAUCCACGGUAGAUGCCACUUUCUUUUGAAAUGCUUAUAAUGUUAUUACAAGAUUGUUAUUACACGACCAUUUCCUUUUUAGGUCACUGUGCUUAGGUUGAAGCCUUCUUUCUUAUCUCCUUAGCUAGUAGGUUGAAGCUUUCUUUCUUAUCUCCUUAGCUAGUCUUUUGUUGUAGUAUUUAGGGAGAACCCUUGACUCAUGUAAAGUUGUGAGCUUAUUACAGACCUUUUUGAUGACCUUAUUUAUCUGUAAUCAUCUGUAAUUUCUUACCUCCAUGCCUUUGUGCUUGUAUGGUUGCUUCUGAACUGACUGCCUUCCCAGUGGCACUUUCUUUUAUCACGUAACACUCAUACGGUAUCUUUAGCUAUGCCGACUCUUGCUUGAGUAUAUAUCAAGUAUGAUAAUGAUAUUCUUCAAGGCUUAACUCUCCAUGUUGGGUUGUACUAUGUUUAUCUCACACGAUCGGAUGACUUGUCUCUAACCUCCUGUUUUGCCAUAACUGGGAUCUUCCUGACCAAUUACUAACUAUUUAUUGGCCCUUUCUCAUAUUAGUAUUCCUUGCAAUAUUUCUUGGGUUAUUUCCUUUGUCGUAACUUACGUCUCGCACUAGCUCUUUAUUUAUUAAUAAUAGCUCGGACAGGAACCUUUACUUCCUCUCCUUGACAUUGUGCUUGCAUAAUAUUCUUGAAUCUUAGCGUAUCUGUAAGAUUUGGAUAAGUAUCGUCCCAUUCCUCUUUCAUUUAUCGCAUUAUUCCUCUACCAUUCCUAAGUCACUAUAACUACUUAAUUCUGACUUAAUUCCACAUCAUUCCAUAUUCCCCCUUUAGGGGAUCUACAUAUAGAUGUUUUACCCCUUCAUCUUUGGUGCUGUUUAUCAACAUACAUGAUACUUACUCGCAUUAUGAUAAUCCUUCUGUACCAAGGAUGACAAAUAUCCUUACUUGCGAGGGUGACACUUAAUGUAACUGGCACAUACAGUCCCUUAAGCUUAACUUUGCUGACAUUGCUUGCUUUGGGAAAGCGUCUUCCUGAAUGACCAUUCUCUGAAUUUUUCUUGAAUCUUCUUCUGUUAUCCGUCCUAUUAUGCCGGAAUGCAAUAUAAAAUUCUCAUGAUGCUUACUAUUACCGAAUCACUCAGUCCCUAAUUCAUAUUUAGUUUAUCUUGUUUACUAGUCCAUACUAAUUUUUAUUACUCUGGGGAUUAACCCUCCCCCUGGUAGUCGCGUUGGAGUCAUGGACUAAUUUCUCGAAAUGAGGAUACAACCUUAGAGCCUAUAAUUUUUUGUUAUCUUAAGGCCCAUCACCUUUCAUAUCUUCCUUCAUUUGACUAUAGGUUCUGUAACACUCUACCGUUUUCAUCCAUGUCUCAUACCUUAUUCAUAAUGCUUUCUUAUCUCUCUUCUCAUUACUCUGCUAAUAUUUCUACUUAUCUCUUUUAUUGUGGAAACUUCAAUAUGACAUUCUUUUGCUUUUAGCUUUCCUUUGCUCCAUCCAGUGGCUCUUCAAGUUGCUUAACAUUUUCGCUUUAGUAGGGACGCGAGCCACACUAAGGUAAUAUUUAUCCCUUCAAGGAUUAUAGUGCAUGUCUUUGUAGUACUCAUAUCUAGUUGUACUAUUUUAGGGUGCACCAUCGAGGUGUCUCACAGGGAGAUCCAUUACCACAUUUGUUCUAUCCUUCAAAAACGUCAACUAACUCUACCAUUCCAUCCACUAUUUUGGGUUACUAUAUCCCAAGUUGGAUCCUGCUAACACGUCCUUUUCUUAAACUAUGUCUGGUAGCCCCCAUAGUGCAUAACUGAGAUGGGUACGACCAAUUAUACAUACCUCUGUUACCAUUGAAUAUAACUCAAAAAGAUUAUAUUCCUCUGCCUGAAUUAUAAACACCGUUAGCCUUCAUUAACUGCGCAUUGUACCUUUCUUCAUCUUACUUCUUUUGCUUUUUUGAAACUUGUAUUUAUCUUUUUAAUCUCUCAUUGUCUUUAAUAAUAAAGGUGGGUAGGCAUUCUUGCCUUAAGGCUCCUUAUCAAGAGGCUUACACCUUUCAAUACGCACAUGAUCUGCUGAAGAUCUUAUAUUUACUUAUCAUAAGCAUGAUACAAAGUCAAGUUCUUCUAAUUCAACACUUCCACAGCUAUAUCUCUUAUUGAUCAUCUUUCUUCACGUAGGCAUCGUAUUAUUAUGAAUAAAAAGAGAAGCUCACGACUUGAAUUCUUAUAAGUGGGCUUUACCACACGAUUUAGAGUAAGAAGAAAGAGUGACAAUCCUAAACAAGACUCUACUAGACAUGGCUUGUAGAUUCUACUAGACAUGGCUAGUAGACUCCCUAGGACAGAGCUGCUCUGAUACCAC